GGUAAAGACCCGGCGUCACUCCCGGAUUCGCCAUCCGGACCCCGGGCUCGGGGCGCGCCGGGACGCCUUUGUUCCAGGUGGCGAGGUAUCUUCCCCUUGCCGCGGGCCCGCUUUGCCCUCGCCUGCUGGGGAAGAGUGGAGGGGUUGGGGUUUAGGGGCUCGGCCCCUCACGGACAGCAGGGUGGGUUAACCGCCCCCCAAAAGCCUGGGUGGCUUGAGAAGGGCUGGCGGUAACACCUAAGUCUCCGGAAUGGCGGCUGCGUCCGAACCGGGAAGCGGCGUGGUGGGUUGGCGGCGGCCGGGCCAAGUGAGGUCUCCCGGCAGGGGCAAGGCUCCGACCUGGAGGAGAGAGGGAAGGGGACCCCCCUCCCACGCACCGCCUCAAGCUCCCGCGCGAGGCUCUGUCACCCAGCCUGGAGCAAACGAGUCUGUUUACCUUGCGCCUGCAAAAUAUUCAGAUGGAAACAUGUAUUUAUUCAUCGCUUUGCAGAAGGGGACAGCUGAGGAAGGAGAGGCAGAAGCCUAAACAGUUAACACAUUGAGAAAGUGGGAGAAACAAGGUGUCUGAAUUUUUAAUAAUACCCCGGUCUCAUCUUUUUCUUAUGACUGUGUUCCCGUAAAUUUGCUAUCAUUUGGAGAUGGCUGAUGGUAUUCUUUUUAAAAACACAGUGUCAGCUUGGUGGAUUAAAAAUUCCAAGAUGAUUUGUGCAUAAUUGAAUGUUUCCCUGGAGCAAAGAAAUCCUCUUUUUCUGGGGUGGGUGCGGUGUGGGGUCCAGGUCUGGGGUGCGAUGUGCGGCUGUGGGUGCUAGGCGUUGAGGCAGACGCUGGCAAAACGCCUGUUUAUCACCAAUAGCUUUGUCUAAAAAGGUGUGUUUGUCCUGUGCUUGGACCUCCUCUCGUGACCUCUUCUGCUUGGAAAUCCUUUUAUCCAAUUUGUUCUAAGUGUCUUAAGUGAAGUCAAGACCCCUUCAUGUCUCCCCUAAUACGAUAAUGACUAAUUCUUACUGGCAAGGCAGUCCAGAAUUCGCACCAAAAAAAAAAAAAAAAAAAGAAAAA
rnacentral:lncRNA from 1 species